UACGUAGGAGACGAGCGUUAUCCGGAUUCAUUGGGCAUAAAGAGUGCGUAGGCGGUCUUUCAAGUCGGAUGUAAAAUCUCCCGGCUCAACUGGGAGGGACCAUCCGAUACUGUUAGGCUAGAGGACAGCAGAGGAAAGUGGAAUUCCCGGUGUAGUGGUGGAAUGCGUAGAUAUCGGGAGGAACACCAGUGGCGAAGGCGGCUUUCUGGGCUGUUUCUGACGCUGAGGCACGAAAGCGUGGGGAGCAAACAGGAUUAGAUACCCGCGUA
rnacentral:rRNA from 1 species